rnacentral:rRNA from 1 species
GGGUCCGGACACACUGAGGAUUGACAGGCAAUAUUAAUUUCUGGCCUCCGGGUCGAUUUUAUGUUAAAUAUGCUAGUCCUUUCAUGAUUAUGUGAUAGGUGGUGCAUGGCCGUUCUUAGUUCGUGGAGUGAUCUGUCUGCUUAAUUGCGUUUCACUAAGGGCCUAUAAUUUAACGUGUGUUGCGGCACUUUGACCCCUCUUCGCGGAGNGUGCGUCUUAGCUUGUUUAGCUCACACAAUUAGGUCCUGAAAGCAACGAACGUGACCGCAACCUCUUGUUGCCUUUAUACCAAACACAGUCUGUUCCUUUCUCUCGAAAGGGCUACCGUGAAAAAAGGCUUUUUAAACUAGAGGGACCGCUGUUACUUUCUUAAACCAGAGGAAGGUUGCGGCAAUAACAGGUCUGUGAUGCCCUUAGAUGUUCCGGGCUGCACACGUGCUACAAUGAUUAUUGCAGUGAGCAUCUCAUUUUUUACACACCGCAUUCACGAGUCCAUUUAUUCAUUCCCUCGGGUUUGCUUUAAAUGUGCAUCUCUGUGAGCGGUAAAGCCUGCUUCGAAAGUAAGUGGGU